UACGUGGGGUGCAAGCGUUGUUCGGAAUUACUGGGCGUAAAGCGCGUGUAGGCGGUUCGCUAAGUUCGAUGUGAAAGCCCUGGGCUUAACCCAGGAACUGCAUUGAAAACUGGCAGACUUGAGUCCGGGAGAGGGUCGCGGAAUUCCUGGUGUAGAGGUGAAAUUCGUAGAUAUCAGGAGGAACACCGGUGGCGAAGGCGGCGACCUGGGACCGGUACUGACGCUGAUGCGCGAAAGCGUGGGGAGCAAACGGG
rnacentral:rRNA from 1 species